rnacentral:lncRNA from 1 species
AUGAGGGCGAGGCCUGGGGUAGGGCCAGGAUAAGCCUCACUGGGGCAGGUCCUGGGUAGAGACCAGGUUGGCGGGUCUUGGGGCGGGGCCAGGAUAGGGCGAUCCUGGAAGCUGGGCUUCGGAAGCGUCCAGCUGUUGUUCCACACCAGAACCAAAUGAGCGCAAGAUCUGACAAAGAAAAAAAAAGGUUCAUCUUUUAUUCCUCCAAACACUUUCAUUUAAAUCAAGAGGAUGGGAUGUGGUUAUUGCUGUGUUUUUAGGCAGAAUCAACGGUUUCUGGGUCUGAGAUGGUGCAUACACCCUCUCAGUCCCUGUAUCCUGAGAUGGAGUCACCUAAGAAUCCACAGCAAGUCCUAACCAGGGAUGGGUCUGGGUGAUUAAGGAAGGUUGGCUUCAGAACUGGGCCAGGGGCACUGCUUUGCUUUUGCUGUUUUGAUCAGCUCUCUGCCUGCAGGAGACAAGGAAAACCAAUGGGAACAGCCCAGUAAAGUCGCCAUUCCCCAUUUUACAGCUGGGGAAACUGAGUUACAGAGCUUUUCUGCACUGAGUCAUCAGGAGCAAAUGCUAGAUCAGGCCAGAGUGCAGUUGACGCAGGGCAGGGGAGCCCCGAAGUGGAGCAUAGCGUGUCCGGAACUGGUGGGUUCUUGGUCUCACUGACUUCAAGAAUGAAGCCGCGGACC